rnacentral:rRNA from 1 species
UACAUAGGUGGCAAGCGUUAUCCGGAUUUAUUGGGCGUAAAGAGUGCACAGGUGGUUAUAUAAGUUUGAUGUUAAAGUCCAAAGCUCAACUUUGGUUUGCAUUGAAAACUGUAUAACUAGAAUGCAGGUGGGGAUAGUGGAAUUCGAUGUGUAGCGGUGGAAUGCAUAAAUAUAUCGAGGAACACCAGUGGCGAAGGCGGCUAUCUGAACUGUAAUUGACACUUAAGCACGAAAGCGUGGGGAGCAAAUAGG